CAUCCUUACAAGGAGAGGGGAGAUAACGAAGCCGGAAAAACAUGUCGGUUAGGCCAACUCAAAAUCAAGUCAUCACGCUCCCUGAUGUUAAUGCUUAUGCCAGCGACGGGAAAUGAGAUGGUGGGGGCAACCGUCAAUUAAAUGCGGAGAACUCCUGUUUUAGAUUUUCAUCGUCAAUGGAGCUUGCCGUUCGCCAUCGCCCGGCGGCGGGAUAUUCACGGGAGCUGGAACCACCCCCUGGAAUCUGGAAUUCCAUCGUGGAUUCCCAAGACCACUGCCGAAAAGAAGGUCCAGCGAUCCUUCGAGAAGCACCAGAAGCACCACAAGGAAUGACCCAAAUGUAGGGCAACUGGGACUCGUAGGGAAGAAAGCCAAGACUGGCCAAGGCGAGCCAACAUCAGACAAGCCCUUUAGCCCAGGGGUCGACGACAUUGGAUCGAGGUGAACCUCCACGGGGGUCUGCCACGAGGGAGGCCGGCUUGGCUAUGGCCUCACGUUGGGGGCGGUCCGCUGGUAGCGGUGCGGGCCAUCAGGGUCACUUCAGUUGGGCAGGUCGUUUGUCGAUCCAUCAAGUCUCAAUUAUCCUCUGGCUCUUUCAUUCUCCUCGAUCCUCCUCACAGGCUGCCUCCUUCUGAUACCUAGUCUGACGGAUACCCAACAUACAGUUGGCAAGAUGGAAUGCUUGAGCAAUUCCCCAA